GACGAACGCUGGCGGCGUGCCUAAUACAUGCAAGUCGAACGAACCGCGACUAGGUGCUUGCACUUGGUCAAGGUGAGUGGCGAACGGGUGAGUAACACGUGGGUAACCUACCUCAUAGUGGGGGAUAACAGUCGGAAACGACUGCUAAUACCGCAUAGGACAUAGGAUCACAUGAUCCAGUGAGGAAAGGUGGCGCAAGCUAUCGCUAAGAGAUGGACCCGCGGUGCAUUAGCUAGUUGGUAGGGUAAAGGCCUACCAAGGCGAUGAUGCAUAGCCGACCUGAGAGGGUGAUCGGCCACAUUGGGACCGAGACACGGCCCAAACUCCUACGGGAGGCAGCAGUAGGGAAUCUUCCGCAAUGGACGCAAGUCUGACGGAGCAACGCCGCGUGAGUGAAGAAGGUCUUCGGAUCGUAAAGCUCUGUUGUUAGAGAAGAACAGCGCAUAGAGUAACUGUUAUGCGUGUGACGGUAUCUAACCAGAAAGCCACGGCUAACUACGUG
rnacentral:rRNA from 1 species